rnacentral:rRNA from 1 species
AACAUAUUACCGAAGCUGUGGAUUGUCCUUUGGACAAUGGUAGGAGAGCGUUCUAAGGGCGUUGAAGCAUGAUCGUAAGGACAUGUGGAGCGCUUAGAAGUGAGAAUGCCGGUGUGAGUAGCGAAAGACGGGUGAGAAUCCCGUCCACCGAUUGACUAAGGUUUCCAGAGGAAGGCUCGUCCGCUCUGGGUUAGUCGGGUCCUAAGCUGAGGCCGACAGGCGUAGGCGAUGGAUAACAGGUUG